rnacentral:rRNA from 1 species
GCUGAUCAGCCUGCCGCGUGAGUGAAGAAGGCCUUCGGGUUGUAAAGCUCUUUCAGCCGGAAAGAAAUCGCGCAGGAUAAUACUCUGCGUGGAUGACGGUACCGGAAGAAGAAGCACCGGCUAACUACGUGCCAGCAGCCGCGAUAAUUA